AUAGACCAUCAUAAAGACGCACAGGAAAAAAUGACUUCACUGACCUCUAAGGGGAAUAUUGGGCAGCAGGAAGUGACGUCACAGACUUGGAAGAGGAGUAUGGAACUGUGAGGAACAGGGAGUGGCCAGCACAGAGGUGAACCCUCGGUCUGACUCAUGGAGUGCCAUAUACUGUUACAAGAAAGCAAACAGGCCCUUCGAGGGCCGUGUGCUAUGCAGACUCAAGAUCAGGUUUAGGUUUUAUUUUAUACGCUACUGAAUUCGGUCAAGAUAGCUUAAGCUGUAAGCUCUGUGUCCAACAGUGGUGACAGGUUUUCGUAGCAUGCCGCUCCUCAAAUAAGCAUCCAGGGUAUCAUCACAGCACUUGAAGCUGCUUGUAAUGGGAGCUCCUCCCAGCCACUUGAAAACAGAAGAACAGCCGACCCUGCAGAGAAGGCUACCUACACCUGUCCACACUCCCACCUUUCAUCUAAAUCUGGAAUCCGGGAACCAGCAGGUGGUUUGGUGUCAUAAUUAGAUGGGGUCCCUCACCCACUUCUUGGAAAGCAGGCAAAGGUGUGGACAGCAACUCACAGAGCGGACAGGCAGGAAGAAUGAGUAGGUGGAGAACAGCUCAGCCACGGGAAGGAAGCCCUGCUUGGCGGUGCAGAUCUGGACGGUGCAUGGCCGCGUGGUCAGCUGUCCCUGGGACAAGGGCCAGCCUCUGAGAAAUGGCGACGAUUGAAUAAGAGAUGCACCCCUGGGCGUUUGGGGAGUUUUACUACAUAGAGAAUCAUCUUUCUCCACUUGGGAAAUUGUGAGCACUGACUACAUCUGACCCAGAGGACCUGGGAUGAGAGAUCGUGGAGCUCUAUUUACAGCUAUCGUGAACUUUGAACCUCUAGAGUGCAGAUUGGAAAGAUUGUACAGUGUUCAAAAGGCAGAGAUACAGAAGAGCAGGUACGAAAAGGUGUUGGGUGGGAGGGGGUAUGCACAGAAGCAACACCACGACAACACACAAAAACCUAAUUGCGUUCGCCGGGGGAACUGGGAUGCGCCCAGUGCCCCUCCUCUGCCAGUGCUGCCCCAGUCAGCAGCAAAACUGGCCUGGCAUAUGGCCCUGGCCUGG